UCCGUGCACUGUAUCCUAUCAGUAAGCUGCGCACAUCAGUAAGCUGCGCACCCCACCAAACUUGAUGCGACGC
rnacentral:tRNA from 1 species